UACGUAGGGUGCGAGCGUUGUCCGGAAUUAUUGGGCGUAAAGAGCUCGUAGGCGGCUUGUCGCGUCGGAUGUGAAAGCCCGGGGCUUAACUCCGGGUCUGCAUUCGAUACGGGCAAACUAGAGUGUGGUAGGGGAGACUGGAAUUCCUGGUGUAGCGGUGAAAUGCGCAGAUAUCAGGAGGAACACCGGCGGCGAAGGCGGGUCUCUGGGCCAUAACUGACGCUGAGGAGCGAAAGCGUGGGGAGCGAACAGG
rnacentral:rRNA from 1 species